rnacentral:rRNA from 1 species
CCCUUAGAUGUUCUGGGCCGCACGCGCGCUACACUGAUGCAUUCAACGAGUUUCUUCCUGGUCCGAGAGGAAUGGGUAACCUUUUGAAAGUGCAUCGUGAUAGGGAUAGACUAUUGCAAUUAUUGGUCUUCAACGAGGCAUUCCUAGUAGACGUAGUUCAUCAGACUGCAUCGAUUACGUCCCUGCCCUUUGUACACACCGCCCGUCGCUCCUACCGAUUGAAUGCUCAGGUGAGCCAUUCGGACCUUCAUCAUGCCGGUUUCCGGUUUUGAUGAGGGAAAGUCUUGCGAACCUUAUCAUUUAGAGGAAGGAGAAGUCGUAACA